AACGAACGCUGGCGGCAUGCCUAACACACGCAAGUCGAACGAGAUCUUCGGGUCUAGUGGCGCACGGGUGCGUAACGCGUGGGAAUCUGCCCUUUGGUUCGGAAUAACAGUUGGAAACGACUACUAAUACCGGAUGAUGACGAAAGUCCAAAGAUUUAUCGCCAGAGGAUGAGCCCGCGUAGGAUUAGCUAGUUGGUGUGGUAAAGGCGCACCAAGGCGACGAUCCUUAGCUGGUCUGAGAGGAUGAUCAGCCACACUGGGACUGAGACACGGCCCAGACUCCUACGGGAGGCAGCAGUGGGGAAAAUGGGACAAUGGGCGAAAGCCUGAUCGAGCAAGGCCGCGGGAGUGAUGAAGGCCUUAGGGUUGUAAAGCUCUUUUACCCGGGAUGAUAAUGACAGUACCGGGAGAAUAAGCUCCGGCUAACUCCGUGCCAGCCGCCGCCGUAA
rnacentral:rRNA from 1 species